AAGGAUCAUUAAUGAAAUGUUUGUCGAGAAGGGUUGUAGCUGGCCUCCAGGGGCAUGUGCACACCCUGAUCGCAUCCACCUCCCACACCUGUGCACUGCCUGUAGCUUGGGAUGAUCACGGAGCCCUGAUGGGGUGACGAAUGCCCUUGUCUAUGAAUAUUUUCACACACGCUCAAAAUAUGACAGAAUGUACAUCAUAUCGCGUCUGAUAAACGUGACAAAUACAACUUUCAACAACGGAUCUCUUGGCUCUCGCAUCGAUGAAGAACGCAGCGAAAUGCGAUAAGUAAUGUGAAUUGCAGAAUUCAGUGAAUCAUCGAAUCUUUGAACGCACCUUGCGCUCCUUGGUAUUCCGAGGAGCAUGCCUGUUUGAGUGUCAUGAAAUUCUCAACUGCCCCCAGGUUUUGUGGCCUGCGGGUGAAGUUGGACUUUGGAGGCAUUGCUGGCGCACAUGAAUGGGCUUUGUGCCCUACUGUGCUUGUCGGCUCCUCUUGAAUGUAUGAGCUUUCCAAUCCUUGGCAAAGUAUCGUCGAUGUGAUAAUUAUCUGCGUCGCCUGAGAAAGCCUAAAAGGGGAAAUCUUCGAUCACGUUGGGUUGACCCACGUCUGACAAAUUCGACCUCAAAUCAGGUAGGACUACCCGCUGAACUUAA
rnacentral:rRNA from 1 species